CAUACAUGAUUAAUGACAGGAGCACUUUUAUAUUUUUAGUAUUAUAUUUGUGUGUUUGUGUUGUUGGAACCAUUACAGUGAACAAGGAAGAGAAUGGUGCACUAAAACCAAAAAACAAGUAGCACGUGGCAGCUUAUAGAUCAGAAGAGAAUGGACAGACAUGUUUAAGUAUGCAUCAGCAGUUUACAUUGUACCGAAGAGAGGAGGGAGAGCUGGGUGUGUAUGUUGUGUCAGGCAUUUGACUGUUACAUAUCAACAUUACUAGAGGUCAUUUCCAUGGUUUGCAACAGGCUAUCAGUUUGAUAAAACUAUGAGAACAUGUUUAGUUCUGCUUUCAGAGGCUGAACAGGUAUCAUUUUUGAUGGAAGCUUACUUGUUGGCAUUUAAAUGGAUGAUUAAAUGGAUGCAUUGAGUAACUGUGAUUUAAUUGAUCUUCAUUGACAAUUCAUUAUGUGUUAACUGAUCACAUAAGCGCUAGUGACUUGAUCAUUUCUUUAUAGAAUGUAACAGAACAUCAUGCAUUCAUUAAUUCACCAUGAGCAUGGCAUGCAUUGCUGCACCUUUGUGAUAAAGUACUUGCAACUUUUCCAUUGUGGAGCUCACAUGUUUUUCAAGAGCCUCCAAACCGCUUAGCUGACCUCUAGCCAAAAAACAUCUUUCAUAAGAGCUUUAAUAAAAUAAUUUUGAUGUGUGUAGUAUGUUGUGUCCAAAAGCAGCAGUUUGCAUCGAUGUGACGUCUUUAUACUGCAAGUGUUGGCAGAUGCUGCGGCUCCGUGUUUGCAGUGUGGUUAUAGAUGUGAAUGGGGAGGUGUCAGAGAGGAAAAACAGCGCCACUUGGAGGCAGAAAUGAUACACUGCACCCCAUUCCAUUCUCAGUGCAGUUAUGCACACCACAAGAGCAGUUUGCUUUGAUUUUAAAGGCCAUCAUCAUGUGCUUAUACGGCCCUCCUCCUCUUUGUCUUUUGGAAUUUGUUGUCAAAUCACGUUUUAAAUGCACCAACGUAACAGCGAGUUCCACUCCUGGCCUGUGCAACAGGGGCACGCGUUUACUUUUUAAAUCUUAAUUAUGACAGAGUGAAAAAGACUGCUUAAAUCUACAGGGACCCAGCCGUCAGCUCAGGUCCAGACUGCCGCCUGCAACCGGACAUGUGCCCGGUUCCAGCAUCCUGGCCGCCGAGCCAACGCGUUAUCAUCACCACGGUCUUCAUGGAGCUUCUCCCUGGUGCGAGCUCGGUUUUGUGACUGGCAUCGUUUCACCGUCACAGCUGCGGCAAACCUCUGUUUAAAGUCCACUAGGGCGGCUUUGAACUCCAUCACAACCGCAUCACAGAUGAUCUCCAUGGAAGCUCCGUCUCACGACCAGCGACCCGUUAUCCUCGGGCUUAGUGGAUGAUGGCAGCCGGUUUAUCAUCAACACUGAAGAAGAGGCAGGAUAAAGAAGAGGUCUUGCUGAUGCUCCAUGACAGGCGGCAAGAGGAAAUAACGGCAAAGAUUAACAGUUCCAGUCCAAAAACAGUCGCAGGGACUGCUGCUGCAGCGGCGGAGGAGGAGUAUCACCGGGACCAAAACAAGAUGAGACCAGUCCGAGGCGCCCGGUCCCGGCUGCUCACCACACGGCCGUCGGAGCCUCUUUGUCGGCCAGAGCCGACAGGAAGACUCGCUGUUUUUACUCCAAGCCGCAGAACUUGGAGCUUAUGUUCCUCCUCAGCAUGUUGGCUACCUGACCCGACAGCGCCGCCCUGAGAUCAGAGGGAGCGUCAACCUGAAGAGUCUGAACCGGAGGAUUAAGAAAAAAGAUCGGACAAUAUGAAGCUGGUACACAGACAGCAGGCUGCAACUUGGACACAGUCUGCCUGUCUUCGUCUAAUGGGAUCCUCGUCUACGAAACAUCCCCUGACAUGAUUCCUAAAUGUAAUACUUCUACCAUACUUCCACCAGCUGACCUCGACCAUCUCUGUUCACUCAGAGUUCAUUGUGUAUCACCAUAUCGCUGCUUCAGAUGAUCACGCAGCAACUCAAGAGGUUUUCUAAACUUCUUUUCACACCAGGGUCACACAGUUGGAUAUUCAUUAAGCCAAGCAGGAACCUGGUGCUGAAGGGAUUUUACUUGUUAGAUAUGAUUUACUGCAGCAGUCUGACCUCCUGCUGCUGGAUUCAGUCACAUGCACUCUAAUCAUUUGAUUAUAACCAGAGGAAGGCAGUGCUGCAAGUCUGAGUUAUUGGACUUGCGUGACGAUUCAACUGUAAUUGAAUUAACAUGGAUUUGCAUUUUUCGAUCUUUCAGAUGACUCUUGGCAUAUAUAAAACAUAGUCUGGUUUCUUUACAUGUUUUGAUUCUGUGCCACAAAUGGGAAAGAGAUGCAAGGCAGGAUGUAAAAUGCAGACCAGCCUGGCUAGCUGUGGAAAAUUAUGUCGUGUAACAGUGAAACUGAUAAAAGAAUGUGAUACUACAAUAGAGUUUGUGUUAAUGUGUUCUGUGAAGACAUAAACACCACAAACAAUAAAAAGCAACAAAAUUCCUUCAUUUCUCUGCCAUGUUCUUUUGUUCUACAGCCUGAAGACUGCACAUGCUUACAAAUAUUUAAGCUGUGACCUGUUGCAUUAA